GCAACUUAUCUCCUGAUGAAAUGAUUUGUUUGCAUGUGACAAUAUUGAAGAUGCUAAAUUAGAAAUUAUGGUCUUUGUAUUAUCAGAUGAUGUCACUACAACAAAAACGGUCUAUAGCGACACUUUUAAAUGUAGGUAUAUGUCAAAAAAAUGCUGCUAGCUAAAAUUACCGACACUUUUAAAAAGUGUUACUAUAUGUGGGGUCGCUAGGUAUAUAGUGACAGUUAAAUAGUGUCGCUAUAACCUAAAAAAGUGCUGCUAAUUUACCAACAACUUAUUUAAGCAUUUAGCAACCGCCGAAACUCUAUCUCGUUGGCUGCGGUGGCGGAGAAGAACGACAGGAAUGGCUCUUCGUCUAGAAUUUUAGUGGAUUGAGUAAAGAGAGAAGAAAAUAUGGUAAUUGAUUUUUCUUUUUUUUUUUCUUUUCCGUUUGUAAUCGGGUCAAAUGGACUGGGUGUGGUGGGUUAAGUAGAGUAAUCUUUUAUUUUUGGUUGGAUUGGGCUUUAUAUUUAGACAGUAGUAGAUGUUUUUUUAAGUUUUAGUAUAAAUUGAACACUUACUCAAAAGUGUCCCAAACAUGUGUCCCUAUAACCUAAUUCUGUUGUAGUGUGUUUAUGAAGCAAAGGGGUUCAGCAAUUUUGUUGUCAGUUUCUGUUUAGUUUUCUUAAUAUAAACUGAACA
rnacentral:lncRNA from 1 species